UUCAAAACUUUAGAAUACAUACAAGGUGACAAGCAGUUGUGGUCACAUAUUUCUAGUUGGGCUAUCACAAAUGAGCAUGUAUCAUUUGAGAUAAGAAGAACUUCAGGGCAAAUUAUGAAGACAUUCGCAGAGUAAAAUCAAAUAUAAGAGCAACCUUGUCACCAGUGGAGUCUGUCCACAUCUUCAUCUGGGCCCAUCAUCUUGACAAGCACUAAGCUGUAAAGUCAGAGUGGAGAAUAAAUGCAUGGACCCGAGACUCUCUCAAGGACUUAUAUGGCAAGCUCAUCAGUCUUCCCAGUUCAGGGGCUUCUAUCCUUCAGAUGCAGUCUGCAGAAAGGAGUCAGCACCCCAUAAAACAUGCCAGUGAUUUGCAUCUAGUCUUCCUGACAGAUUAAGCAGCUCCUGUUAGCUGCCUACCACCCUGGCAAAAAAAAAAGUCCUUACAUCCUGGUGCUUUCUUAGAAGUAAAGUGCAGUGUCGCCGUCACAUGGGACAUCCUUCCUUCAUUAUCGACAUUGAUCUAGGGACACGGCAAGGCCCUGGACAGCAGGAGUUGACGGAGGCCCCAGGGAAAUAUAGGGUCCCCGCUGAACCGACAUCACAGUCCUGCCAGUCAGCAUCAGCAUCCUGGGUGACCCUUCACAGGUGUGGAGCUGAAUGAGAACGAGUUGCUGUUUGGAAAACGGGCAUCACGCCAUUACGUGCCCACGUCUGUGCCAAGAGAAGGCUGGCUAAAUCUCAAAAGGGACAAUGGAAUGGAGGGAACCCACACUGGUGAAGACUGAGAUAUGAAUAACCCAAGUGGGGAUCUCGUUCGAAAGUUCCAACUCCUGUCUUCUCUGUGCAGCCUCCAGUAUAAGCCCUGGAGCUCUCGUCCUCUUCCCCUUCCCCUUCCACUCUCCAUUCUGGGACGCCGAGGAUGAUCCUCGCUGCUUAUCAUCCGCAUCUAGAGUCUGCGGUGGGAGGUGUAGCAAGGCUUAUCAACCCAUCAGACUCUGCCAGUUCCGCUGCCGGGGUUGUGUCCCCGGCUGCUCUCCAGCCUUGGCAGCUGUCCUGAGAGUUUGUGGAGUGAGAGAGGCUACAGAGAGACGCUGUCGACUUGAGAAACGUGUUUUGGAAGUGGCCGUUUAGCCAUCGUGGCCGCUGACACGGCCACCGCACGCACGCAUGACCGCUCGCUCGAGUUGGGUUGCUUUCACUUCUGGCAACGCGGAGAGGGCUGGUUCUCACCCACCAUACUAUCUAAAUGAUAAGGUCAGAGCAAAUUGGCAGAACAUAUUGCCUGAGAUGACAUUCAGGAAUCAAAGUGAAAGUCAAAAGAGACGGAACGCAAAUACAUUUGACAAGCGGAGUGUUGACACUCCUCAGCAAAUGGAGAGAUAUAGAGAAAGAGAGAACGAGAGAUAGAGA